rnacentral:rRNA from 1 species
UGGGGAAUAUUGGACAAUGGGCGAAAGCCUGAUCCAGCCAUGCCGCGUGUGUGAAGAAGGUCUUCGGAUUGUAAAGCACUUUAAGUUGGGAGGAAGGGCAGUAAGCUAAUACCUUGCUGUUUUGACGUUACCGACAGAAUAAGCACCGGCUAACUCUGUGCCAGCAGCCGCGGUAAUACAGAGGGUGCAAGCGUUAAUCGGAAUUACUGGGCGUAAAGCGCGCGUAGGUGGUUUGUUAAGUUGGAUGUGAAAGCCCCGGGCUCAACCUGGGAACUGCAUCCAAAACUGGCAAGCUAGAGUACGGAAGAGGGUGGUGGAAUUUCCUGUGUAGCGGUGAAAUGCGUAGAUAUAGGAAGGAACACCAGUGGCGAAGGCGACCACCUGGACAAAGACUGACGCUCAGGUGCGAAAGCGUGGGGAGCAAACA